UACGGAGGAUGCGAGCGUUAUCCGGAUUUAUUGGGUUUAAAGGGUGCGUAGGCGGCGAGUUAAGUCAGCGGUAAAAGCCCGGGGCUCAACCCCGGCCCGCCGUUGAAACUGGCUGGCUUGAGUUGGGGAAAGGCAGGCGGAAUGCGCGGUGUAGCGGUGAAAUGCAUAGAUAUCGCGCAGAACCCCGAUUGCGAAGGCAGCCUGCUGGCCCCACACUGACGCUGAGGCAUGAAAGCGUGGGUAUCGAACAGG
rnacentral:rRNA from 1 species